CUUGUGGCAUUAUGGACAUGAACACUGUUUUACAAAACAUGCUGAAGACUGCCCUCAUCCAUGAUGGCUUAACAUGUGGAAUUUGCAAAGCUGCCAAAGCCUUAGACAAGUUCCAAGCCCACCUUUACAUGUUUGCAUCCAGCUUUGGUCUGUGAUGAGCCUGUGUAUGUCAUGUUGGUGGUGGCCCUUUGUGCUGAACACCAAAUCUACCUAAGUAAGGUUGAUGACCGUAAGAAACUAGGGGAAGAGAUAGGCCUCAGAGAGGGAAAACCCUAUAAAGUCAUUGGUUGCAAUUGUGUAGUAGUUAAGGACUAUGGCAAAGAAUCUCAGGCCAAGGAUGUCAUUGACGAGUACUUCAGAUACAAAAAAAAUAA
rnacentral:lncRNA from 1 species